GAUGAACGCUGGCGGCGUGCCUAAUACAUGCAAGUCGAGCGAACGGACGAGGAGCUUGCUCCUCUGACGUUAGCGGCGGACGGGUGAGUAACACGUGGAUAACCUACCUAUAAGACUGGGAUAACUUCGGGAAACCGGAGCUAAUACCGGAUAAUAUAUUGAACCGCAUGGUUCAAUAGUGAAAGACGGUCUUGCUGUCACUUAUAGAUGGAUCCGCGCCGCAUUAGCUAGUUGGUAAGGUAACGGCUUACCAAGGCAACGAUGCGUAGCCGACCUGAGAGGGUGAUCGGCCACACUGGAACUGAGACACGGUCCAGACUCCUACGGGAGGCAGCAGUAGGGAAUCUUCCGCAAUGGGCGAAAGCCUGACGGAGCAACGCCGCGUGAGUGAUGAAGGUCUUCGGAUCGUAAAACUCUGUUAUUAGGGAAGAACAAAUGUGUAAGUAACUGUGCACGUCUUGACGGUACCUAAUCAGAAAGCCACGGCUAACUACGUG
rnacentral:rRNA from 1 species